GACGAACGCUGGCGGCGUGCUUAACACAUGCAAGUCGAACGGAUAGGCCCUGCUUUUGUGGGGUGCUCGAGUGGCGAACGGGUGAGUAACACGUGAGUAACCUGCCCUUGACUUUGGGAUAACUUCAGGAAACUGGGGCUAAUACCGGAUAGGAGCUCCUGCUGCAUGGGGGGGGUUGGAAAGUUUCGGCGGUUGGGGAUGGACUCGCGGCUUAUCAGCUUGUUGGUGGGGUAGUGGCUUACCAAGGCUUUGACGGGUAGCCGGCCUGAGAGGGUGACCGGCCACAUUGGGACUGAGAUACGGCCCAGACUCCUACGGGAGGCAGCAGUGGGGAAUAUUGCACAAUGGGCGGAAGCCUGAUGCAGCAACGCCGCGUGCGGGAUGACGGCCUUCGGGUUGUAAACCGCUUUCGCCUGUGACGAAGCGUGAGUGACGGUAAUGGGUAAAGAAGCACCGGCUAACUACGUG
rnacentral:rRNA from 1 species